rnacentral:lncRNA from 1 species
UUUGUAUCAAAAUUUCAUCUUAUUUGAAUACUUCUACACUGUUAAACUUGAAAACGGCAGAUAUCAACAGUUAAAAAUUAUAGAUUUUGAAUCCUUUCGAUCACUAGGUAAAUGAUAUCAAAAAAUCACAAAAAUUAUUUUCUAGAAACUUCAAAUGCGCUAGAUCAAGUUUAACAGAGCUGAUCGUCGAUUCGAAAAUUUCAUCAUCGAAAACGGCUCAGGAGCACGGAUGCCCUGCUCUCUCUCUCUCUCUCUCUCUCUCUCUCUCUCUCUCUAUAUAUAUAUAUAUAUAUAUAUAUAU